AGCGAACGCUGGCGGCAGGCUUAACACAUACAAGUCGAGCGGGCAUCCUUGUGGUGUCAGCGGCAGACGGGUGAGUAACGCGUGGGAACGUGCCCUUCGGUUCGGAAUAACUCAGGGAAACUUGAGCUAAUACCGGAUACGUGCGAGAGCAGAAAGGUUUAUCUGCCGAAGGAUCGGCCCGCGUCUGAUUAGCUAGUUGGUGAGGUUAUGGCUCACCAAGGCGACGAUCAGUAGCUGGUCUGAGAGGAUGAUCAGCCACACUGGGACUGAGACACGGCCCAGACUCCUACGGGAGGCAGCAGUGGGGAAUAUUGGACAAUGGGGGCAACCCUGAUCCAGCCAUGCCGCGUGAGUGAUGACGGCCUUAGGGUUGUAAAGCUCUUUUCUCCGGGACGAUAAUGACGGUACCGGAGGAAUAAGCCCCGGCUAACUUCGU
rnacentral:rRNA from 1 species